GACGAACGCUGGCGGCGUGCUUAACACAUGCAAGUCGAACGGAAAGGCCUCUUUCGGGGGGUACUCGAGUGGCGAACGGGUGAGUAACACGUGGGUAACCUGCCCUUGACUUUGGGAUAACUUCAGGAAACUGGGGCUAAUACCGGAUAGGAGCUCCUGCUGCAUGGUGGGGGUUGGAAAGUUUCGGCGGUUGGGGAUGGACUCGCGGCUUAUCAGCUUGUUGGUGGGGUAGUGGCUUACCAAGGCUUUGACGGGUAGCCGGCCUGAGAGGGUGACCGGCCACAUUGGGACUGAGAUACGGCCCAGACUCCUACGGGAGGCAGCAGUGGGGAAUAUUGCACAAUGGGUGGAAGCCUGAUGCAGCAACGCCGUGUGCGGGAUGACGGCCUUCGGGUUGUAAACCGCUUUCGCUCAUGACGAAGCUUUGUGUGACGGUAGUGGGUAAAGAAGCACCGGCUAACUACGU
rnacentral:rRNA from 1 species